rnacentral:rRNA from 1 species
AAGAAGUAGGUAGCUUAACCUUCGGGAGGGCGCUUACCACUUUGCGAUUCAUGACUGGGGUGAAGUCGUAACAAGGUAACCGUAGGGGAACCUGCGGUUGGAUCACCUCCUUA